AGGUUAAGUGAAUAAGGGCGCACGGUGGAUGCCUUGGCACUAGGAGCCGAUGAAGGACGGGACUAACACCGAUAUGCUUUGGGGAGCUGUAAGUAAGCUAUGAUCCAGAGAUUUCCGAAUGGGGGAACCCAGCAUCUUUUAUAGGAUGUUACGUCUGCGUGAAUACAUAGCGCAGUCGAGGUAGACGCAGAGAACUGAAACAUCUAAGUACCUGCAGGAAGAGAAAGAAAAUUCGAUUCCCUGAGUAGCGGCGAGCGAAACGGGAAAAGCCCAAACCAACAAGCUUGCUUGUUGGGGUUGUAGGACUCCGAUAUGGUAGUCUAUUCAGAUAGUCGAAAUACUUGGAAAAGUAUGUCAAAGAGGGUAAAAACCCCGUAGGCGAAAUUUGGAUAACACCUAGGAGGAUCCUGAGUACGGCGGAACACGAGGAAUUCCGUCGGAAUCCGGGAGGACCAUCUCCCAAGGCUAAAUACUCCCUAGUGACCGAUAGUGAACCAGUACCGUGAGGGAAAGGUGAAAAGCACCCCGGAAGGGGAGUGAAAUAGAUCCUGAAACCGUGUGCCUACAACAAGUUAGAGCCCGUUAAUGGGUGAUAGCGUGCCUUUUGUAGAAUGAACCGGCGAGUUACGAUAGCAUGCGAGGUUAAGUUGAAGAGACGGAGCCGCAGCGAAAGCGAGUCUGAAUAGGGCGAAUGAGUAUGUUGUCGUAGACCCGAAACCAUGUGAUCUACCCAUGUCCAGGUUGAAGGUGCGGUAAAACGCACUGGAGGACCGAACCCACGUACGUUGAAAAGUGCGGGGAUGAGGUGUGGGUAGCGGAGAAAUUCCAAACGAACUUGGAGAUAGCUGGUUCUCUCCGAAAUAGCUUUAGGGCUAGCCUCGGAAUUGAGAAUGAUGGAGGUAGAGCACUGUUUGGACUAGGGGCCCAUCUCGGGUUACCGAAUUCAGAUAAACUCCGAAUGCCAUUCAUUCAUAUCCGGGAGUCAGACUGUGAGUGAUAAGAUCCAUAGUCGAAAGGGAAACAGCCCAGACCACCAGCUAAGGUCCCCAAAUAACUAUUAAGUGGAAAAGGAUGUGGGGUUGCACAGACAACUAGGAUGUUGGCUUAGAAGCAGCCACCAUUUAAAGAGUGCGUAAUAGCUCACUAGUCGAGUGACCCUGCGCCGAAAAUGUACCGGGGCUAAAUAGUUUACCGAAGCUGUGGAGUGCACCAUCAGGUGCAUUGGUAGGAGAGCGUUCUAAGGGCGUUGAAGGCAGAUCGUGAGGACUGCUGGAGCGCUUAGAAGUGAGAAUGCCGGUAUGAGUAGCGAAAGACAGGUGAGAAUCCUGUCCACCGAAUGACUAAGGUUUCCUGGGGAAGGCUCGUCCGCCCAGGGUUAGUCGGGACCUAAGCCGAGGCCGACAGGCGUAGGCGAUGGACAACAGGUUGAUAUUCCUGUACCCGUUGUUUUUGUUUGAGCAAUGGAGGGACGCAGGAGGCUAAGAAGUGCAGACUGAUGGAUAUGUCUGUUCAAGCAGUAAGUCUUGGUAGGAGUCAAAUGCUUCUACCUAUACGGACAAGCUGUGAUGAGGAGGGAAAUAAUAGUACCGAAGCUUCUGAUGUCACACUGCCAAGAAAAGCUUCUAGUGAGAAAACAACGGCCCGUACCGCAAACCGACACAGGUAGUCGAGGAGAGAAUCCUAAGGUGAGCGAGA
rnacentral:rRNA from 1 species